rnacentral:rRNA from 1 species
AUUGAACGCUGGCGGCAGGCCUAACACAUGCAAGUCGAGCGGAGCGGGGGACGCGGGAGUGAUGCCUAGGAAUCUGCCUGGUAGUGGUGGAGAACGACCGGAAACGGGCGCUGAUACUACUUACUAUCAGAGUAGCCUAGGUCGGAUUAGCUAGUUGGUGGGGUAAAGGCCUACCAAGGCGACGAUCCGUAACUGGUCUGAGAGGAUGAUCAGUCACACUGGAACUGAGACACGGUCCAGACUCCUACGGGAGGCAGCAGUGGGGAAUAUUGGACAAUGGGCGAAAGCCUGAGCCAGCCAUGCCGCGUGUGUGAAGAAGGUCUUCGGAUUGUAAAGCACUUUAAGUUGGGAGGCGUUACCAACAGAAUAAGCACCGGCUAACUCCGUGCCAGCAGCCGCGGUAAUUC